rnacentral:rRNA from 1 species
GGGAGUUUGGUGCGCGGAUGAGCGGUAAUGCGGCGGGGGUGAGACUGUGUCGGACUAUCUGGGCGUAACGGGUGCGUAGGCGGCUAUCUUUGUCAGGUGGGAAAGCCCCAGGCUCAACCUGGGAAUUGCACUUGGGACUGGGUAGCUUGAGGUCGGGAGAGGAGAGUGGAAUUCCCAGUGUAGAGGUGAAAUUCGUAGAUAUUGGGAAGAACACCGGUGGCGAAGGCGGCUCUCUGGACCGAUACUGACGCUGAGGCGCGAAAGCGUGGGGAGCAAACAGGAUUAGAUACCCCGGUAGUC